UACGUAGGGGGCAAGCGUUGUCCGGAUUUAUUGGGCGUAAAGCGCGUGUAGGCGGCCAGGUAGGUCCGCUGUGAAAACCCGAGGCUCAACCUCGGGACGUCGGCGGAAACCAUUUGGCUAGAGUCCGGAAGAGGAGAGUGGAAUUCCCGGUGUAGCGGUGAAAUGCGCAGAUAUCAGGAGGAACACCUGUGGCGAAGGCGGCCACCUGGAAGACAACUGACGCUGAGACGCGAAAGCGUGGGGAGCAAACAGG
rnacentral:rRNA from 1 species